rnacentral:lncRNA from 1 species
UUUAUAUAGAUCAUCUCAUUUCAUCCUCACGAUGGACCCAUGAAGUAGAUGUGACGGUCAUCUCCCUAUUACAGAAGAGGAGACCCUGGGAGGUCACAUGACUGGCCCCAGGCCACACAGGUAGGGGGCAAUGGCACCACAACCACAUGAUAUCACCUCUCAGAGUCCUGAGGAUAUUCUAGAUGCCAGAGAUUACGGGAGCCGGGGAAGGAAUCUGAAUGUGGGUUGGCACAGAGGGGAUGGGCCUGGAAAACCUGGACUUAUGCUGUUGUCAGUGGUGGUCACUGAGAGUCAGGAGGUGUGAGUUCCAGUCCCAGCUCAGCUAUUUUACGUGCUGCUGGUGGGAAGGUACUUCCAAGUAAUAAGAGGAAUAAAGUGCGGGGUGAAGGCAACACUGAAAACUUGAAACCCCAGGACCGGAGGAGGGUGAAAUAAAAACCUGUUUGGCAAAGACAGGCUCAAACCCCCAUGAGCUGUCUGGCUGUCUGAGGGCUGGCUGCUGGAAUCUCCCCAAAACCAUCCCUCGGGGCUCCUUUCUGAGCUUCUCCAGAGCAGAAUUGAGGUGUGGAGGAGCAUGACGGCCUCAGGUCAGCACACUGUACCAUGCACACAGGACGUAUGUUUCUUUGGUUUUAUUAUUACAAACACACCAUGGCUCUGUCACAAUAGGGAAAUCUAAGCUCUACAUACC